AGCGGGGUGGAGCAGCCCGGUAGCUCGUCAGGCUCAUAACCUGAAGGUCGUCAGUUCAAAUCUGGCCCCCGCAACCA
rnacentral:tRNA from 2 species